rnacentral:rRNA from 1 species
AUUGAACGCUGGCGGCAGGCCCAACACAUGCAAGUCGAGCGGAUGAGAAGAGCUUGCUCUUCGAGUUAGCGGCGGACGGGUGAGUAAUGCCUAGGAAUCUGCCUGGUAGUGGGGGACAACGUUUCGAAAGGAACGCUAAUACCGCAUACGUCCUAAGGGAGAAAGCAGGGGACCUUCGGGCCUUGCGCUAUCAGAUGAGCCUAGGUCGGAUAAGCUAGUUGGUGGGGUAACGGCUCACCAAGGCGACGAUCCGUAACUGGUCUGAGAGGAUGAUCAGUCACACUGGAACUGAGACACGGUCCAGACUCCUACGGGAGGCAGCAGUGGGGAAUAUUGGACAAUGGGCGAAAGCCUGAUCCAGCCAUGCCGCGUGUGUGAAGAAGGUCUUCGGAUUGUAAAGCACUUUCGAUGGGAACGAAAUGUGCCGGGUUAACACCCCGGCAAGCUGACGUUACUCAAUGAAGAAGCACCGGCUAACUCUGUGCCAGCAGCCGCAGUAAUAC